GAUUCUGGUAUUUACGCAAUGAUGUUUGUUGAGUAUUGGAAAUCACCCAGGACGGUGCUGCGUAACAUAUUUGAGUCAUCAGAUAUCAAGAAUAGAAGAGUGAAAAUUGCCAACGAUCUCCUGUUCCUCCCCGGAAAUUCUGGAAUGAAGAGCCGCGUUAUCGAAUACGGCACAUGAGGCUACUAAUAAAGAUGUGAAGUUCAAUUUUCCCAGGAAUAUCAAUCACAAGGAUCUGUUCCCUUUUUUUCAUGCUUCAAUGCUUGAGGAUAUGAUAUCGUAGUAUAGAUAUAGUUUUUACUUUUUGGUAUCGAAUGACAGUGUAAUAAUAGUCUGUCAUUUUAUCUGCGCAAACUAGUACAUAGCAGGUUAUCACAAUAUGAAAACAGAACCUAUGUCAUUUUUAUAUCAUAUCGAGCAUCUGUCACUAGAAUAGUUCUUCUUAUGCCUUCCCCCCUGCCCCUUUCCCCCUAAAUCUUUCUUUUCAGCUUUUCAUUCUUUUUUGCAUUCUUCACUUUUUGACUUGCUGCCAAUGUAUCCUGCUGCCCUUUUUCAUCUUCUUCGCGGCUUCCCCACUUGGACCUGCAAAAGACAAAUGUAUAGGCUACAUUAGUCUCUGGUAAUAGUUAUACUAUUUUUUCCAUCGUUUUUUACUCACUUCGCUUUGCUUCUUGUUCCCUUUCCUCACAUUCUUCUUGCCUUUACCAUCUGGACAUGUUAAACCUAAAAUAAUUAUGGUUUAUUAAAUCAUCCGCAAAAUAGUAUUUUCAUGUGUCGUUUUUUUACUGACAUUGUGUUAUCUUACUUGUUGCCUUUUUCUUCUUGUUCUCCUUCUUCUUUUCUUCUUUUGCCAUUUUUUUGUCUUAUCUCUUCUAUAAGCGGAUUCAGUCUUGUGGGCAAUGCUGGUCUGCCCUUCUGCUUCACCCUAUCUGGGUCAUGGAGUUCUACAAGUUCAAAUAGCAAAAAAUCAAGUACGCUAUCUAAUUUGUCAAAUUCUCCAUUCAGGUACAAUUUCUAGUAGUGGAUGCCAUCCUUAUUGAACUUCCCACAAAUACAAGUGAAUUCUUCUUUUCCCUUUGUCAGGUUAGUAAGCACAAUAUACUUCCUCAUUCUGUAUGGUUUGUAGAUUUGGUUAUUCUUUGGCCAAACCUCAAAGCAUCUCCCCUCCUCUGUUUCCUUAAUACUUCAGCCUUUCUGUUUGUUGAAGUUGGUACUGGAAUUUCUUAAAUAUAUUCCUGUUAUAUAGUUCAACUACCUGCUGUCGGUGUUUUACCGGCUGCCCACCGAGGGAUAUACCCGAGGUGGUAAGUUUAGGUGAGGAGACGCCGAGAUCAGGAACUCGAAGGUGCAAGGAACACAAGACUUAGACAGGUUCGGGCCGCGAGAAGAACUGACUGAUGACGCCGCACUCACCCGAGUCAGGCGAGUGCUGCUGGACGUGGAUGCGGUUCCCUACGUCCCUCAGCUAUUUUUAGCAUAAAAUCCUCCAAAACCGGGACACACAGAGUUGUACCGGAGCUACCCUCCACAACCCGACAUCCCUCGACCGGACCAC